rnacentral:rRNA from 1 species
GAUGAACGCUGGCGGCGUGCCUAAUACAUGCAAGUCGAGCGAAUGGAUUAAGAGCUUGCUCUUAUGAAGUUAGCGGCGGACGGGUGAGUAACACGUGGGUAACCUGCCCAUAAGACUGGGAUAACUCCGGGAAACCGGGGCUAAUACCGGAUAACAUUUUGAACCGCAUGGUUCGAAAUUGAAAGGCGGCUUCGGCUGUAACUUAUGGAUGGACCCGCGUCGCAUUAGCUAGUUGGUGAGGUAACGGCUCACCAAGGCAACGAUGCGUAGCCGACCUGAGAGGGUGAUCGGCCACACUGGGACUGAGACACGGCCCAGACUCCUACGGGAGGCAGCAGUAGGGAAUCUUCCGCAAUGGACGAAAGUCUGACGGAGCAACGUCGCGUGAGUGAUGAAGGCUUUCGGGUCGUAAAACUCUGUUGUUAGGGAAGAACAAGUGCUAGUUGAAUAAGCUGGCACCUUGACGGUACCUAACCAGAAAGCCACGGCUAACUACGUGCCAGCCGCCGCCGUAA